rnacentral:rRNA from 1 species
GGGGGCAGGUGCUAGUACUGCAGUCGAACGCUUUUUCUUUCACCGGAGCUUGCUCCACCGAAAGAAAAGGAGUGGCGAACGGGUGAGUAACACGUGGGUAACCUGCCCAUCAGAAGGGGAUAACACUUGGAAACAGGUGCUAAUACCGUAUAACAAUCGAAACCGCAUGGUUUCGGUUUGAAAGGCGCUUUUGCGUCACUGAUGGAUGGACCCGCGGUGCAUUAGCUAGUUGGUGAGGUAACGGCUCACCAAGGCAACGAUGCAUAGCCGACCUGAGAGGGUGAUCGGCCACAUUGGGACUGAGACACGGCCCAAACUCCUACGGGAGGCAGCAGUAGGGAAUCUUCGGCAAUGGACGCAAGUCUGACCGAGCAACGCCGCGUGAGUGAAGAAGGUUUUCGGAUCGUAAAACUCUGUUGUUAGAGAAGAACAAGGAUGAGAGUAGAAUGUUCAUCCCUUGACGGUAUCUAACCAGAAAGCCACGGCUAACUACGUGCCAGCAGCCGCGGUAAUACGUAGGUGGCAAGCGUUGUCCGGAUUUAUUGGGCGUAAAGCGAGCGCAGGCGGUUUCUUAAGUCUGAUGUGAAAGCCCCCGGCUCA